AUUGAACGCUGGCGGCAGGCCUAACACAUGCAAGUCGAACGAGUGGCGGACGGGUGAGUAAUGUCUGGGAAACUGCCCGAUGGAGGGGGAUAACUACUGGAAACGGUAGCUAAUACCGCAUACCAUCGGAUGUGCCCAGAUGGGAUUAGCUUGUAGGUGAGGUAACGGCUCACCUAGGCGAAGAUCCCUAGCUGGUCUGAGAGGAUGCCCAGCCACAAGGGAACUGAGACACGGACCAGACUCCUACGGGAGGCAGCAGUGGGGAAGAUUGGAAAAUGGGCGCAAGCCGGAUGCAGCCAUGCCGCGUGUAGGAAGAAGGCUUUCGGGUUGUAAAGUACGUUCAGCGGGGAGGCGUUACCCGCAGAAGAAGCACCGGCUAACUCCGUGCCAGCAGCCGCGGUAAUUC
rnacentral:rRNA from 1 species